AUGAACGCUGGCGGCGUGCCUCAUACAUGCAAGUCGAGCGAACGGACGAGAAGCUUGCUUUUCUGAUGUUAGCGGCGGACGGGUGAGUAACACGUGGAUAACCUACCUAUAAGACUGGGAUAACUUCGGGAAACCGGAGCUAAUACCGGAUAAUAUUUUGAACCGCAUGGUUCAAAAGUGAAAGACAGUCUUGCUGUCACUUAUAGAUGGAUCCGCGCUGCAUUAGCUAGUUGGUAAGGUAACGGCUUACCAAGGCAACGAUGCAUAGCCGACCUGAGAGGGUGAUCGGCCACACUGGAACUGAGACACGGUCCAGACUCCUACGGGAGGCAGCAGUAGGGAAUCUUCCGCAAUGGGCGAAAGCCUGACGGAGCAACGCCGCGUGAGUGAUGAAGGUCUUCGGAUCGUAAAACUCUGUUAUUAGGGAAGAACAUAUGUGUAAGUAACUGUGCACAUCUUGACGGUACCUAAUCAGAAAGCCACGGCUAACUACGUG
rnacentral:rRNA from 1 species